GUUUUACAAACCACAUCAAUGAAUGGAUUAUUUAAUAUCUGUACUGUACGACACAGACGCUCGUUACAUGUUAGAGGUUCAGUGCAAAGAUAUGAUAUGAAAUAUAUAAGAAUAUUAAUCCUUUAUUCGUCCCACAAUGGGGAAAUUCGGGCGUAACAGCAGCAAAGUGGAUGGCAGAAUAUAUAUUGUUGUUUUUUUAAAAGCAAAAGGUAUGUACAAAAUAUAACAUAUAAAAUAUAAAUACUUAUAUACAGAGCAGUAUCAAUAAUUGCAUACGGAGAAUUAAUAUAGAUAUAAAUAUUGCACAGUUGUUAUUGCACUCCUGUGAAAUGAGAUGAAAAACUAAACAUUUUUACUUUUACCAGGAUCUGACUUCUGAGGAAGAAGUUCAUUUAAACCGUGACACGGUUCCUCAGAUCAGUGGGUGAGGCGUCCGGGGGAGACGACCAGCUCCAUCACCUGGACGUGUAACCAGCCUCACCCGCGUGGUCGUCCUCACCCGCGUGGUCGUCCUCACCCGCGUGGUCGUCCUCACCCGCGUGGUCGUCCUCACCCGCGUGGUCGUCCUCCCUCACCCGCGUGGUCGUCCUCACCCGCGUGGUCGUCCUCAGUCGUGCCUCACCCGCGUGGUCGUCCUCACGCGUGGUCGUCCUCACCCGCGUGGUCGUCCUCACCCGCGUGGUCGUCCUCACCCGCGUGGUCGUCCUCACCCGCGUGGUCAUCCGUGGUCGUCCUCACCUGAGUCGUGGCACGUCACCAGGAGGAUCUGGAAACUGGAAACUGGAGGCUGAGGGUUUUUCCCCGAUGCUCCGCCUCCCUCUGGUUUCCAUCUCUCUGUCUCUGUCUCUCUGCCGUGGGCUGGUGUGGAGCCGACAGCUCGGGACUCUGACAUGAAGCCAAGAUGAUCGCUGCUGUAGAAAUAUUUACUAUACACAACACACACACACACACACACACACACAGCCACCUACCCUGCAGAGCCCACACACUCAUAAAUGCGGAGCAUAUGUAUUCCCAGACAAACACACACACACACACACACAUCACGAAGAUUCCAGCUUCAUGUUCAUUUCAUAUCGUGUGGAAAGUAACG
rnacentral:lncRNA from 1 species